UGAGGAAUAUUGGUCAAUGGGGGGAACCCUGAACCAGCCAUCCCGCGUGCAGGAAGACAGUUCUAUGGAUUGUAAACUGCUUUUCUUGGGGAAGAAUAAUGACGACGUGUCGUCAGAUGACGGUACCCGAGGAAUAAGCAUCGGCUAACUCCGUGCCAGCAGCCGCGGUAAUACGGAGGAUGCAAGCGUUAUCCGGAUUUAUUAGGUUUAAAGGGUGUGUAGGCGGAUGUAUAAGUCAGUGGUGAAAGUCAGCAGCUUAACUGUAGAAUUGCCAUUGAUACUGUAUGUCUUGAGUGUGGUUGAGGUAUGCGGAAUGUGUAAUGUAGCGGUGAAAUGCAUAGAUAUUACACAGAACACCGAUUGCGAAGGCAGCAUGCUAAGCCACAACUGACGCUGAUGCACGAAAGCGUGGGGAUCAAACA
rnacentral:rRNA from 1 species